rnacentral:lncRNA from 1 species
GAAAAAAAAAUCCUAUUAUAGAAACCAUCCGUGUUGAAAUACUUCUACAGGAUGCGGUUAUUGCAUUCCAUAACCAUAAAUGUUCCAGUUCAAAAACUUGUAGCGUUGUAGGAGCAGCACGAAUUUAGUAUUACUCAUGUCGCUUUUCGUGUGGCUGGUACAAAUAAACUUUUUUGUUCCAGAGCUUGUUACCAAGAUCAGCACUGGGAUCACUGUUUUGUGUUAGGCGUGCAAACAGUGACAGUCCCGAGGUUAGCUACGCCAU